rnacentral:misc_RNA from 1 species
GAUGAAGAACGCAGCGAAAUGCGAUAAGUAGUGUGAAUUGCAGAAUUCAGUGAAUCAUCGAAUCUUUGAACGCACAUUGCGCCCCUUGGUAUUCCAUGGGGCAUGCCCGUUCGAGCGUCAUUUGUACCUUCAAGCUUUGCUUGGUGUUGGGUGUUUGUCUCGCCUUUGCGUGUAGACUCGCCUUAAAAUAAUUGGCAGCCGGCGUAUUGAUUUCGGAGCGCAGUACAUCUCGCGCUUUGCACUCAUAACGACAGCGUCCAAAAGUACAUUUUACACUCUUGACCUCGGAUCAGGUAGGGAUACCCGCUGAACUUAAGCAUAUCAAUAAGCGGAGGA